GUGAAUCAUCGAAUCUUUGAACGCACCUUGCGCUCCUUGGUAUUCCUCGGAGCAUGCCUGUUUGAGUAUCAUGAAAUCCUCAAAAUAAAUCUUUUGUUCAUUCGAUUGAUUUUAUUUUGGACUUGGAGGUCUUGCAGAUUCACGUCUGCUCCUCUUAAAUUUAUUAGCUGGAUCUCGAUGAGCUCGGUUCCACUCGGCGUGAUAAGUAUCACUCGCUGAGGACACUGUAAAAGGUGGCCGGGAUUAUUUAAAGAACCGCUUCUAAUAGUCUAUUAGCUUAGACAAAUUUAUUUAUGAUCU
rnacentral:misc_RNA from 1 species